UGUUGGUUGAUAGGGACAGCAGGACGGGGGUCAUGGAAGUCGGAAUCCGCUAAGGAGUGUGUGUAACAACUCACCUGCGGAAUCAACUAGCCCUGAAAACGGAUGGCGCCGGUGCCGCGGGCCCAUACCCGGCUGUAGUUCUUCCAAGGAGAACUUGGAAGGCCAAAGUGGAGAAGGGUUCCAUGGGAACAGCAGUUGAACACGGGCCAGUCGGUCCCGAGAGAUGGGCGAGCGCCGUUCCGAGGGGACCGGCAAUGGCCUCCCUUGCCAUCAGCCGAUCGAAAGGGAGUCGGGUUCAGAUCCCCGAAUCCCGAGUGGCGGAGACGUGCGCCGCGAGGCGUCUAGUGCGGUAACUCAACCGACCCGGGAGAAGCCCGCGGAGGCCCCAGGGAGA
rnacentral:ncRNA from 1 species